rnacentral:rRNA from 1 species
UUAGUGCCAGCAUUCAGUUGGGCACUCUAGAGGGACUGCCGGUGUCAAACCGGGAGGAAGGUGGGAUGACGUCAAGUCCUCAUGGCCUUUAUGUCUAGGGCUACACACGUACUACAAUGGCCGGUACAAAGGGCAGCCACUCAGCGAUGAGGCGCUAAUCCCAUAAAGCCGGUCUCAGUCCGGAUCGCAGUCUGCAACUCGACUGCGUGAAGUUGGAAUCGCUAGUAAUCGUAGAUCAGCAUGCUACGGUGAAUACGUUCCCGGGCCUU